AGGACGCUGAUGCAUUUGGCUAAGGUCAAGUGUGGUGUCUGUUCUUAUAAGUUUAAUAUCUGAUACGCCACCUAUCUGCGGACCAUAUAUUAAUUGGAUGUUUAGAACAGGGAGAAGGGAAAAGAGCUUGCUCUGUCCACUCCACGUGUUGACCAAGUAAUGCAGUACUUCCAGGAGCGGUGCACCUUUC